AAACAGGGAACCGUUUUUGAAAUGUGUAUUUUCUUAAUUUCAAUGUGUUGGAAUGUUAUAAAUAUGUAUGUUUCUUUAAUGGUUUUAAAUUUGCCUUAUUUUAAUAGGUGGAUUGUGUGAGGAAAGAUGUUCUGUUAAGAAAUCCUGUCGUAAGUUUGGACAAUACGUCUGUCUUUGCGAAAAGAGAAAGACAGGAACAAAUUGCGACAUUGAGGACACGGUAAAGAAUACUUUUGAGGUUGGAAUUGAAUUCAAAGAAGAGUUUAAACCGGAGUAUGAAAACUUGGAGAAUCCAACAACGCAACUUUUUGUCAAUGACAUAAAGAAUGCUGUAAAAGAGGAGUUCAACGGCUCUGGUGUCCAAGAUGUAAAGGUGACAAAACUGAGGUAAUUACAUGUAUUAUUUGUUGUUACUGUCACCACUAUGCUUGUAUUUAGUUGUUCGUCGAGAGCCAACCAUCUUACAUUGGGCAUUGCUACUUACUUAGGCUAAGGGUUACUUUUAUAUACAUCUAGACCGAUUUUGCGAAAAAAAGCAGUAAGCAUUUUGAUCCUCGAGUCUAUACUUCUGGCUAUGACAUAAACUGCAAUACCAUUCGGCAAGCCAUUUCCACUUAUUAUUUUAAGUUACCCUAUGUAGGCUCCUUGAAUAGAGAAACACAGAAAAGGCUACGCAAACUCGUUCAGCGCUAUUGUACCAACAUCGAAAUUAAGUUAGCUGUUUCUUCUUUUAAAGUUGGUAGUAUCUUUAGUGUUAAGGAUCCUGUUCCUCUCGAUCUCAGUUCGCGUGUUGUCUACAAGUUUUCGUGUGCAGGAUGUAAUGCCUGUUACAUCGGCGAGACUAGCCGAC